rnacentral:lncRNA from 1 species
AAUAAGAUAGAGAAAAGAGAAAAAAGAGAGAGAUUAGAGAGACUCUUUUGAGAGGUUUUUUAGUUUGUAAACUCUGUUGUAAAUUCUAUUCAAGUAGAAAUAGAAUUGUUUUUCCUCUUUUAUUCUCUUCUCGUGAUCGGAGAAUCUCAACAAGUGGUAUCAGAGAUUGGUUCAUCAAUUAACUCUCGUAGUUUUUUAUAAAACUUUUGCAAGCCAAGAUGUCAAUGGAGGAAUCUUCAUCAGGAGCUCUGAUCAAACUCACUGCCACCAAUUACACACUGUGGAGGCCUUGGAUGGAAGACCUCCUUAGUUGUAAGGAUUUGUAUGACCCCUUGGAAGCCAAAGGUGAAAACCCCGAUCCUACCAAGGAGGCGGAGUGGAAGAAGCUAAAUAGAAAAACUAUCGGUCAAAUUCGAGAAUGGAUUGAUCAUAGUGUUUUUCACCAUGUAGCACAGGAGACAGAUGCAUAUGCUCUCUGGAAGAUUCUAGAAGACAUGUACCAAGUCAAGACCGCUCGAAACAAAGCCCUGUUGAUGAGGCGUUUGGUGAAUCUGAAGUUAAAGAGUGGAACUUCAGUUGCUGAGCACACCAGUGAAUUUCAGAGCUUGGUAAACCAAUUGUCAUCUGUGGAGAUGCCGCUUCGGGAUGAAAUACAAGCCUUACUACUUUUAAGUUCUCUUCCUGAUAGUUGGGAGACAUUAGUAGUAUCUCUUAGCAACUCAGCCCCUGAUGGCAAACUUACCAUGUCUAUGGUUAAGGAUGCCCUAUUUAAUGAAGAGGCCAGGAGAAAAGACGUAGACACGGACCAAUCACAUGCCCUUGUCACAGUGAAUCGGGGAAGACAGCAAGGAGGCGUUCGAGGCAGGGGGAGAGGCAGAAGCAAAAGUAGGGGUAGAUCCAUAGAUGGAAGGAAGCCUACUUAUAAGUGCUAUUAUUGUGGUAUGGAGGGCCACUUGAAGAAGAAUUGCAGAAAAUUGCUACGAGAGCAAGGCCACAACAGUUCGCAAUCGAAAAAUAAGGAAGGAGAGACACUAGUCACUAUUUCUGGAGAGGUGGCUAUCUGCUCCAUCCAUGAAGAGACAUGUCUUCAUGUCUCAAACCAAGAUAUUGAAUGGGUAAUAGACACUGCAGCAUCUUAUCAUGCCAUUCCACGCAAAGAUUUCUUCACAACCUACAAGGCCGGCGACUUUGGUACAGUGAAGAUGGGAAAUACCAGUUCUUCUAAGAUCGUGAGAAUUGGUGAUGUUCAGAUACAAACGAACCUUGGGUGUAAAAUAACCUUGAAGGAUGUUCGACAUGUACCUGAUUUUCGGCUAAAUCUACUUUCAGGGAUAGCCCUUGACAAACAGGGCUAUGUCAAUCAAUUUAGCCGAGCUUUUUAAAGAUGAGCUUUUUACAAUUGAAAACAACUUAAUAAAAAUUCAACAUUUAGUUUUGAUGCUUGUUAGGACACUCUUAAUUUUAAAAAGACUGUUGACUAUGACUUCUUUUAGAAAAAUUAAAUUAAUAUUAUAUAGUAUUAAUGCCGU